UACGUAGGGGGCUAGCGUUGUCCGGAAUCAUUGGGCGUAAAGAGCGUGUAGGCGGCCCGGUAAGUCCGCUGUGAAAGUCGGGGGCUCAACCCUCGAAUGCCGGUGGAUACUGUCGGGCUAGAGUGCGGAAGAGGCGAGUGGAAUUCCUGGUGUGGCGGUGAAAUGCGCAGAUAUCAGGAGGAACACCAAUUGCGAAGGCAGCUCGCUGGGAUGUAACUGACGCUGAGACGCGAAAGCGUGGGGAGCAAACAGG
rnacentral:rRNA from 1 species